CCAUUUCUCCUUACACUAUGUAAUAGAAAGAAUCUUUAAAAUAAAUAUAAAAACUAGAAAAAAACUCACAUUUUAAAUAUCUUCAGAGGAUAAUUUGUUUAUUUUUCUUUAUUUGGUACUCAAAGACCAAGGUGAACGUACAAGCAAUUGAGCCUCAAGACCCACAAUUGGACUACACUAGGCGAUGAUAUAGCUGUAAGAAGACGGACUGCAAGCCUUCAAAAUUGGAUUUUCAAAGGAUUUCAUGACUAUACAUUUCACUAUUUUCUAUCCCAAGGCAUAUGCAUCUGUUGAGGAGUUUAUGCGGCGGUUGCGACAGUUGACUAAGCAGAGGCAACUGGCAAGAGACUAGAGACUGAAGAUAUUGAGCAAAUAUAAGGAUUUCACUGAGUUAUCAUUGAUAGAUGAAGAUGCCUUUGAAUUUCUUCUCAUUAUGUCCACAGAAAAGGCAAAGGGUUUUUAUUUCCAAAGGAAGGUUGGGAAAAUGAUGAAACAAUCAAAGAUACAGCACAUCAUGAGACGGUGGAGUAGGAGGGGAGGUAAAGCAAACUGGGGACAUGGUAAUUUGAGAACAAAACCAGUUACGCUGCCUAUAAAGGGAACAACUAGACUAUUGACCUGAGAAAGGGACUCACUAAAGAACUUGGAUGAAUGGCAAGAUAACUUUGCCAAAAUGGGUGGAUGAAAGAAGCCUUGGAAAUGGAGGUCGGGAAAAGAUGAAACAAUUGAAGAUGUAUCACAGUGUGAGACAGUGGAGGAAGCUGGAGUACAAGGUGAAGUUGAUGUUCGUUCUCCCUUAUUUCUUUUAGUUCCUUUUAUGCUUUAAUUUUUAGGGAAAAGGUGAAAAAUAAGAAACAAAGUCUGUGUUAUCUAGUUAUCUACUGCAUCAGAUAAAUGACAGUAUACUAGCUGUGGUAGAGUUAAGGGCUUAUCAUCUGUAAAAUUUCUAGCAAAAACAGUCAGUGCUUGAUAGUUAAGCGAAAAAGUUACUUAGCAGCAGCACUAAUUGAUGAUUAAAUGUGAUGUUGUGAUCGCUUUUGGAUUAGGAAUACGCGAUUUUUUAAAAUCUUACAGUCUAUUGUCUUGUUGACAUUGAAUUGAUAAAGUAAUAACAUCUAUAUCUGGAUUACUUAUAAGUGGUUCUAACAAGUUUUACUCUAGUUUUGGAUUACUUUUGCAGUGCAAACUGGGAGAGAAAGAUGGUAUGUCGAGAACAAAACUGAUAACAUUUCCUGUGAAGGGCAUAUGUUUUCUUUGUUAGUAACUGAACAACUAGACUCUUGGCCCGAGAAAGAGAUUUGCGAAAGAACUUAGAGUAAAUUGGGAAGAUGCUACUUUGAGAACAAAGCCGGUGACACCUCCUUUGAAGGGCAUAUGUUUUCUCUGUUUGUAACAGAACAACUAGACUAUUGGCCUGAGAACGAGAUUCGCGAAAGAACUUGGAUGUAUACCCUAACAAUAUAAACAUUUCACCGCUUUAUCAUUUGUAGAUGAAGAUGCAUUUGAAGUUUAUUAACUAUAUCUGUUCCCAAAGUUCUGACAGGGAGAUCAGGAAAAAGAUUUAACAAUCAAAGAUGCAGCACAAUGUGAGACAGUGGAGGAAGCUGGAGUACGAGGGGAUGUUAAGCAAACUAUGAUAAUGGUACUUUGAGAACAAAACCGGUGACACUACCUAUGAAGGGCACAUGUUUCCUCUGUUUGUAACAGAAUAACUAGACUAUUGGCCUGAGAAAGAGAUUCACGAAAGAACUUGGAUUAAUGUGCACGAAGCAAGAAAACUUUCUAAAAUGGGUGGAUGAAAGAGGCCUUGGAGCAAUUAGUAAUUCGCCUCAUAUCACAAAGUAAACAGACCAAAAGGGAACUAUUUCCAGGAAUCCAGUGUAGCUCCAACGCUCGAGCUCAAGUACUUUCUCCCCCACCACCAAGUUCUACUGAAGAAGCAUAGUCUCCUUUGAUAUCUACUGUCAAAUGGUUUAAGUACUGAAAAUGGUCAAUCCAGCACGGGGGUUAAUUAGUUUUGAGAAUGAGUGGAACAAAAGAAGUACUAGCAGUCACAUGAGUAUAUUGUUUGUUUGUUUGUUUUUAUCUCAGAACUAGAGUAUGUAUGACUUCAUAGAGAUUUUAGGACCAGAGCUGGCUAAUGACAUCUGCACACUGGAAAGUACUUUUUAUUUUGUAUUAAUAUAUAUUAAAUCUUGAACACCCUUGUCGAAAUUUCCGGUUUUGCCACUGGGAACAAUGAUGUUGGAUAGUUAUUGCAUUGAAUUAAGGAUGUUCUGUUUUAUUUUU